GAAUUUAGACAUGAAAAAAAAAAAAAAAAAAAAAAAAAAAAGGUUCUCCCAGGGCGAGGCUCAUCCAUUGCACUCCGGGUGUGCUGACCCCCUGCGAUUUCCCCAAAUGCGGGAAACUCGACUGCAUAAUUUGUGGUAGUGGGGGACUGCGUUCGCGCUCUCCCCUG